CUGUGAUUGGCACCAGCGACCCAGGAGAUCUGAUUACAAGAGUUGAAAAUGGAAUAGGUUUCUUCCUGGAAUGGACCAGGUUCCCAGGAGGAAACAAGACACUGUUUUAUGGGGUCAUUAUGUGCUCGGAAACAGUCUCCUUCUCGUAGUCAUGGCAGAGCACUUCACACUCAGAACUGCUUAUGGUUGCCCAUAUUUUCCUAAGUAGCCACUUGGCAUGUCGGCAGAAUCUCUGCAACUGCUAAAAUAAGAGUGAUCUUUCUCCUCCUGGUGAGACUAGAGCCUCAACUUGGAUUCCUUUGUCACAGGCACCUUAACUCUGGAGAUCCAGUGUGAAUCCUCCAAGAACAUGCUGUGUUCACAUUUUCCAUGGACUUUUAUUGGUUCCCUUAGAUGGAGAGCAAGACGGAAACAAGGUGAGACAAAAUGGGAGUGUUACAAAUGGCUCCUGAUAACCGCAUGCCAAGUAGCAGGAAAAAAGGGCUGUCACCUACAUUAACCAAAGCCUCGAUUGAAAAAGCCUGACAGCUCAAAAGGUGAUUUACUUUCAUCUAAUUUGUAAUUUCCUUCCCUCCCACUUGAGAAGUAUUUGCUUCUUGCCAUUACUGACCCAAUAACAAAAAUUAGAUCUAGCAACAAGACCACCAAUCACUGGCUGCCAUGGUUCUUUCCUAGACCUUAAUUGACUAUGCUGUAUUGUUCAUCAAUAAGUACUUAGAUCCAAGGCAGUUCUUUCUGCUAUCUAACAUGGACCCAAUUAUCUUCAGUGUAAUAAUUACUGUACCCAUGAAAAUGGAAUAAAUCAUUAUAAUAUAUUGGCUUUUAAUUUGAA
rnacentral:lncRNA from 12 species